CGGAAAGAGAGGGAUUCGAACCCCUCGGU
rnacentral:tRNA from 1 species